rnacentral:lncRNA from 1 species
UAAUUUCUUAACAUGUUUGAACAUAUUUAUAUGCUAAUAUGAAGUGAAACAGUAGAAAAGAGUUAUUUGGCUUCAUUGGGCAAAUGUUGUUUUGAUUAUGUCUAAAACCAUUGAUUUUACACUUUCCUUCAGUCUUUAUUUAUUAUAUCAUUAAAAGGUAACCAUGUAACCAAUCAUAAAACGUUAUACAAGUGGGAAUUCCCAAAGGGUAUCAUAAACUUCCGUAAAAUCCCUACGACGAAAGACGUGCUGUUGCAGAAUCAUAACUGUCUGCCGAAACAGUUGAACUGUAUGGGGUUGCAUCCGCGUUAUCCGAUUUGAACGGUACAGGUGGCACAGAAAUAUUCCACGAUAAACGAAGGCAAAGCUCAUCAUGGCGAUAAUUACUAUCUGUUACACGCAAUCAACAGACGUGAAUCAGCGAGGCGAUGAACCAGUGACGUGACGAUCCAGUAACGUGAACCAGUGGCGUGGACCAGUAACGUUUACCUAAACAUAACAGCUCCUCCCGACAUGUGACUCUGCUAUCCAGUAGACCGAAACAAAAGAAAUGAACCAGUGACGUGAUGACCCAGUGGGCGUGAUUCGUACUAGUAACGAAAAGAACUGGUGACAUGAACGCGUCAGUGACGUGAACCAGUGGCGUGAACCAGUAACGUAUACCUGCGUACUAGUAAUGUUUCACCCGAUACCAAAUGUAAAAUUCACCCUAAUCGUUGCCUGGAAUGGAAAUAAAAAUAAGAAGAUUUUUUAAGUAAUAAACAAACUUACAUCAAUAUAACUUAUCAUGUUAACAUUACCUUAAAAUAUCUAGUUACACCCAAAAGUCGUCUUCAUUCAUUCAUUUGGCUCAACUUUUGAUUUUUAAUAAUUCUCUAAAUUCAUCUGUCUUCUAAGGAUAAAUAAAUAAUUAUGUAUAUAUAUCAAAACGAGCAAUUACUGCUGUUGUUAAUUAGUAGAUUAGAUAAUUACGCUAAUUAGUGCCACGAGGUUCUUUCACUUUUGUGAUAUAUGUAAAUAGAAAUCUCAGACUUAACUAACAUGAAAUGGUGUAUACACACAUAUUGAUUGACACUACACCUACAAUCAUUGAGCCUACGUUUAAACCCAUUACAUAGUGCUGUCAUAACAUUCAAGGUUACUGUGUCCAUGUGCUCAUUAUUUUAACCUACCUUGCAGCGCAGCUGUACGUAAUCUAAAGCUACCGUCGGUUAUUGUAGGUUUUGUCCAAUAAUAGCAAAGUUUCAUAAUUUCUUAAAAUAAAUUUCAACAGCAACCAAUUACGUAUGUGAUAUAUUCGUUUAUAGCGGAAGUUCCAUAUAUUUAUAUAUGUAUUAAUAUAUAUUUCAUCGGUCGACAAAAAUAGCCAUCUUGGAAAUUUCCAACUGUAUGUCAGUUAUCAAAAUGAUUUGAGGAUGAAUUUCAUUGGUCGACAAAAGUAAUUAUUUUACCAGUUUAUUUGUACAAGAACAGUUAACAGUAUGCCAGUCAUAAAAAAGUUGAGCAUAAAUUUCCUUGUUCGACAGAAAAAGUCAUUCUGUCACUGUAAUAUUGAUUGAAACACUCAACAGUAUCUCAGCAAUAAAAAAAGUCGAGGAUGAAUUUCAUUGGUCGACAGAAAUAA